rnacentral:rRNA from 1 species
GUGGACAGGGCAAUGUGGUGUUUAGGCAUGUACCUGGGGAGACUGAAUUACUCGAAGUCCAACUCCGAUUGUGGCUUGGAUUUGUUCCUUAGAGGGUGAAAGGCCCGUUCGAGUAAUUCUUGUUGUUUGAGUCUUCCUUAGAUGUGCGUGCCUUGGAGUCGGAUUGCUUGAGAAUGCAGUCCAAAGUGGGUGGUAAACUCCAUCCAAGGCUAAAUACUGGCAUGAGUCCGAUAGUAGACAAGUACCGUGAGGGAAAGUUGAAAAGUACUCUGAAGAGAGAGUAAAUAGUACGUGAAACCGCCUGAAUGGAAGCUGGUGGAGUCAAGCUAUAUGCUUGGUGAAUUGGCACUGAGAUCUUUGGUUAUUUAGAGUUGAACGUUAUGGCUUGGAAAAAGCUGGGUGGUACGCCACCAUGAGCAUUCCGGGUAGUGUGCUUGUUUAUGUUCAUUCUCUUGAUCUUGUGUGUUGUUUUGCCUUGCAGUUACCAUGGUCAAUGUGUUUUUAGUGUGCGGCAUUCUAACCGUGUUGUAGUGGGCGUCAGCUCUCUAUGCUCGGGAUGGCAGGUGGCAAUUUGUUAGCCUUGGUUAGCUUGUUGCUUAUAGUGGUUUCGGCCUGCUGAGUGUUGUGCGUUAAUACUAUUUAAUACAUUGUCUUUAAUGCAUGCGUUACCUGUUGGUUGCGUAUGUGAGAGCCAUGGUUUUGUAGUAGACGUUCCACCCGACCCGUCUUGAAACACGGACCAAGGAGUUUAACAUUUGCGCGAGUCAAAGGAUCUUACGAAAUCCAAUGGCGUAAUGAAAGUGAAAGAUUGCUUUUCGCAGUCAGAGGUGUGAUCUGUGCGUUCCUUUAACAGGGCGUAUGGCGUAACACCGGCCCGUUUCGUAAUGUAGUCAUUCUUGCUACGGCAGGGGUGCAUCA